UGCAAGUCGAGCGGACAGAUGGGAGCUUGCUCCCUGAUGUUAGCGGCGGACGGGUGAGUAACACGUGGGUAACCUGCCUGUAAGACUGGGAUAACUCCGGGAAACCGGGGCUAAUACCGGAUGGUUGUUUGAACCGCAUGGUUCAAACAUAAAAGGUGGCUUCGGCUACCACUUACAGAUGGACCCGCGGCGCAUUAGCUAGUUGGUGAGGUAACGGCUCACCAAGGCAACGAUGCGUAGCCGACCUGAGAGGGUGAUCGGCCACACUGGGACUGAGACACGGCCCAGACUCCUACGGGAGGCAGCAGUAGGGAAUCUUCCGCAAUGGACGAAAGUCUGACGGAGCAACGCCGCGUGAGUGAUGAAGGUUUUCGGAUCGUAAAGCUCUGUUGUUAGGGAAGAACAAGUACCGUUCGAAUAGGGCGGUACCUUGACGGUACCUAACCAGAAAGCCACGGCUAACUACGUGCCAGCAGCCGCGGUAAUACGUAGGUGGCAAGCGUUGUCCGGAAUUAUUGGGCGUAAAGGGCUCGCAGGCGGUUUCUUAAGUCUGAUGUGAAAGCCCCCGGCUCAACCGGGGAGGGUCAUUGGAAACUGGGGAACUUGAGUGCAGAAGAGGAGAGUGGAAUUCCACGUGUAGCGGUGAAAUGCGUAGAGAUGUGGAGGAACACCAGUGGCGA
rnacentral:rRNA from 1 species